CAGGUGGAGCCUGCGGUUUAAUCGGACUCAACGCCGGGAAACUCACCAGAUAAGACAGCUGAAUGAUAGUCGGGCUGAAGACUCUACUUGACUAGCUGAGAGGAGGUGCAUGGCCGUCGUCAGUUCGUACUGUGAAGCAUCCUGUUAAGUCAGGCAACGAGCGAGACCCACGCCAACAGUUGCCAGCUCGUCCUCCGGGAUGGUGGGGACACUGUUGGGACCGCCUCUGCUAAAGAGGAGGAAGGAAUGGGCAACGGUAGGUCAGCAUGCCCCGAAUUAUCUGGGCUACACGCGGGCUACAAUGGGUGGGACAAUGGGUAUCGACACCGAAAGGUGAAGGCAAUCUCCUAAACCCAUCCGUAGUUCGGAUUGUGGGCUGCAACUCGCCCACAUGAAGCUGGAAUCUGUAGUAAUCGUGUCUCAAAAUGGCACGGUGAAUAUGUCCCUGCUCCUU
rnacentral:rRNA from 1 species